GAAGGGGAGCGAGAGAGAGAGAGCGAGGAGGAGGACGCGGGCGCGCGCGCGCACAGGCAGAAACAGGCCGCUGCUUUACCCGUCGCCGCGCGCCCCGCUCUCCUCCUCCUCCCCCUCCCUCUCUAUUUAUUU